rnacentral:rRNA from 1 species
CCUACGGGAGGCAGCAGUGGGGAAUAUUGCACAAUGGGGGAAACCCUGAUGCAGCGACGCCGCGUGAGUGAAGAAGCGCCUCGGCGCGUAAAGCUCUGUCAGCAGGAACGACGAUGAUGGUACCUGAAGAAGAAGCCACGGCUAACUACGUGCCAGCAGCCGCGGUAAUACGUAGGGGGCAAGCGUUAUCCGGAUUUACUGGGUGUAAAGGGGGCGUAGACGGCGGGGCAAGUCUGGAGUGAAAGGUCGGGGCCCAACCCCGGGACCGCUCUGGAAACUGGCCGGCUGGAGUGCGUGUGAGGUAAGCGGAAUUCCUGGUGUAGCGGUGAAAGGCGUAGAUAUUAGGAGGAACACCGGCGGCGAAGGCGGCUUACUAGGCCGUGACUGACGUUGAGGCUCGAAAGCGUGGGGAGCAAACAGGAUUAGAUACCCUUGUAGUC